rnacentral:rRNA from 1 species
UACGAAGGGGGCUAGCGCUGCUCGGAAUCACUGGGCGUAAAGGGUGCGUAGGCGGGUCUUUAAGUCAGGGGUGAAAUCCUGGAGCUCAACUCCAGAACUGCCUUUGAUACUGAGGAUCUUGAGUUCGGGAGAGGUGAGUGGAACUGCGAGUGUAGAGGUGAAAUUCGUAGAUACUCGCAAGAACACCAGUGGCGAAGGCGGCUCACUGGCCCGAUACUGACGCUGAGGCACGAAAGCGUGGGGAGCAAACAGG